AGAUCGCUGGCGCGCGCAGGCUGUGACCUUUACCUUUGCUAUCGUAAAAAUAUAUCGCGAACCGCAGCACUAGCUCGAUACGAGCCCAUACAUGCCGGGGACAGCGCCAACCCCCUCCCCUCAACUCCCACACAAACCCCUCCGCUGCUCAUGACCCCCGACCCCGCACCUCCUCUCCUCCUUCCCUCCACCUUCCAACCACUGCCAUCCCCCAAACCAAAUCGUCCGCAGCCACGUGGCCGCGCGUGUGGCCCCGCGUGUGGCCCCGCGUGUAAUUGCCCCGGCUCCGCGUGGCGGUGACAGAUACCGAUGGGCCCGCUCGUGCUGCGCCGCGGCGUGCGGGCUACUGUAUGAGCUUCCUUUGGGGGGGGGGGGGGUGGGGUGGGGGGACGCGGCGCUCUACUGCGAGAGCCGCAGCACACCGAGCGCUGCGACUCUCGCAAAGGCGCGCGAGAUGAGAUGGGCGCAUCGCUUGAUCCCAGCCAGUGAUACAAUCGUGCACCUUGAAGAAACAUCCUCAAAAGCCCGCGACGGACUGGGUUCACGAACCCAAUCGCUGUCAUUUCUCAACUCUUUGGACACCAAGCAGUUUGGCGGGUCCUGUGAGUCGCCCGACCUCUGAGCUCCUCCGAAGCAACAGCAACGCACGAACGAUCGAUAGCUGCGCCACUGACUCCACACCACACCACCAAAGAUUACCCGUACGGCCUGAACAGUCUGUUGGGGCAAGUGUUGUUAGCGAGCGCACACACACACGCACGCACGCCAGGCUGGUGGGUUUGCCUACACCACGCCCGGCUGCCUCUGUCUCCCCGAUGCUGAUGUCCACGCACCGAACCAGACGCAGCGCUCAUUUGGGUCCGAGUCAACCUGGAGGAGGACCGGUUCAGAUGUUCACCACGCGCGUCACUCCGAGCCCUCACGCGCGGCCCCCCGAUGGCCCCUAUCGCCUCUGGGGCCCGAGCCAGCGCGUCAUCGGCAGAGCCCUUGGGGAGUGGUGAUCUCAACCUCUGUUGGCUACUGUACCCAUCUUGUUGAAUUUUUGUUUCGACCGAGUAGUAACCUCAGUUGCCUGACCCAACGUGCUGCUGAGAAAGACCUGUAUGAAUUUCGAAUCUCAAUGCUUAUUUUUUUUUUAACCAAUUGUCCACUUGCUAGUAACUGUAAUUGAAUACAAAAGAACAUUUCAACGGACGCUCUGCAAUGCUUUUUUUUCCGCCUGAGAUACGACCGCUUGUGUUGCGAUAGAAACGUCGUGAUAUAUUAUUGUUU